UGUCCCUGCUGACCCCUCAGGCUGAGCCCUGCUUUUGUGGGGUCCAUUGCUGGGAAAUGGAACUACUUUCUCUUAAGGUCCUCUGACAGGAGAGACCAAAGACAUGGCAGGCAGGAAAUUCCAGGACCCAUUAGAAGUCAUGUGGCAAAUGCUGAAGGAACGUCUGCAGAGAAGACAAGAAAUGAAAGGAGAGUUUGUGCAGAUGGAAGCACUCCCCAGAGGAAGCAGUGGUUCCAUGCCAGCCUCUGCUGCAGGAAGGGAGGCCAUGCCAGGCACAGGCACAGGAGACUGGAGUCGUGACAUGGGUUUUCAGGAAGUCCUGAUGAAGGAUGGUUUGAAGUU